CCCAUCGGAUUUAUGGUUGGUGGGCACGUGAUAGAAACACAGCGCGGAGGAUCCUAAAAUAGACCAAUAAUGCUGAGAAUAUCAGCUCCUUGUAUUACCCCCUUUUUAUAAGUGUGGCUUUGGAAGUUCGAAAAAAACUGCUAUGAGGCAUCUAUGACGACUGUCUAUCCGAUAAGGGAGUUGUUGAGGUUGCAG